rnacentral:snRNA from 1 species
AAAAAGGGUAUCCGAGUCAGGUGUUCGCAACGAAAGCGCGCCGAGUCGCACUGCGCCUUUGGGACCAUCUAGCAUCCUUCGGGGAGCGGGGGUCGAGUUUCCAAUCUGCUCACCCUUCGAUGGAUCCCUAUGUGCCCAGUGGGGUAUGGCUUUGCAUAUCCGAGGCUCAAUUUUUGAAUGUGGGGCUUGACAGCUGCACCUCGUAUGGUCCGAAUGGUACGGACCUGUGCGCUGCGCCCCG